GAAUGUGGCAUCUUCGGGUGUGUUAUAGCCUCUUGUUGUAUACAUUGGUUGGGACUGAGGAAUUCAGCACGCCGCAAGGCCGGGUUUUUAACCACGUUCGUGCUUAGGAUGCUGGCAUAAUGGCUUUAAUCGA
rnacentral:rRNA from 1 species